GUUGGUUGAAAAUCAUCCGCAGACUUGCCGGUGGCCAUGGGUGAGAUUUGGCGCCAAAGUCAGCGGUCUCUCAUUUACCGCUCACACUUUGGUGAGGGGGAAUUGAAACCCACACCCGACAUGC
rnacentral:snoRNA from 1 species